AACGAACGCUGGCGGCAGGCUUAACACAUGCAAGUCGAGCGCCCCGCAAGGGGAGCGGCAGACGGGUGAGUAACGCGUGGGAAUCUACCCAUCUCUACGGAAUAACGCAUGGAAACGUGUGCUAAUACCGUACACGUCCUUCGGGAGAAAGAUUUAUCGGAGAUGGAUGAGCCCGCGUUGGAUUAGCUAGUUGGUGGGGUAAAGGCCUACCAAGGCGACGAUCCAUAGCUGGUCUGAGAGGAUGAUCAGCCACACUGGGACUGAGACACGGCCCAGACUCCUACGGGAGGCAGCGGUGGGGAAUAUUGGACAAUGGGCGCAAGCCUGAUCCAGCCAUGCCGCGUGAGUGAUGAAGGCCCUAGGGUUGUAAAGCUCUUUCACCGGUGAAGAUAAUGACGGUAACCGGAGAAGAAGCCCCGGCUAACUUCGUGCCAGCCGCCGCAGUAAUAC
rnacentral:rRNA from 1 species